UUGGCAGGGCUGACUCCAGUAAAACAGCAGCGCUCUCUCGCAGCUCUUCUCCUCCUUCUUAUCUGCUCUCACAGCCAGUUGAGCAUCACUCAGACGCAGCACUCUCAAAUCCCAGCCAAGCCUCUCCUGGCAACGCCGCCCUGCCUACCGCGGAGGGGGAGUCUGUCCUGCUGUAUGUACCUCCGUAUGAGGUACACGCCUGGGCUGCUGCUUCUACUGCUGCUGCUGCUGCUGCUGCUGCUGCUGCAGCCACACCAGCAGAUUCACAAUACCCCUGCUGACUGGGUAAACGGCCAGCCACUGUUUCUGUGUUUUUUUUUUGUCAGUUAGCUGUCUUUAACUGUAUAGGUGCUGGAUGGGUUGAACGGUAUGCGUGCGCGAGCAGGCACGCAUGCGCCGGGCCGUAUGCAAAUACCCAACGUGUUAUUGCCCUUGCCCCCCCUCGAAGAAAUUCCUCACGGGACAUAAUCUGCAUUUUGCUUCUCCUUCUCUCCUUCAGCACGAAUCCUGGAUCAAUACACCACAGUAGCAGCCGUGGACACCAAGGCCAAAGCGCAGCAUGGGCUUGCAAUCCGGUCGACUCCAACAACACUCCACCAGCCAAUCAGAGCUCAGUUAUGACUGGACGUGUAUCUGAGCUGGAAUGACCCCUGCCCACUGGCACUGUUCCCACAGUACUGUGGCCAUCUUAAGCACAAUAUAAAAGUCAACCACAGCACGGUUGGGUGGUUCCUCGAACAUGUUCAUGUUUUGGUGUUCUGUCAACGCAUGCCCAUUUUGGCGUUUCCGUCCAGUGAAAAGCAUGCUGCAGGAAUGUGAAACACAAGGGCCCGGGCGUUGACGGGCCGCGGAUCUCCAUGUAACAACAGGUCCUUCUGGGCCUGUGUCCACACAACGGUACAGUAUUGGUUCAAAGCGGGGGGGGGGGGAGGAGGAAACACGAAAAACCCUGAGUCGGAGUGAAAGCUGGGCCUCUUAACAAGCUGAUAGGAAGGGAAAUGGACUGUGGCGUCACGAUUCCCGGUCUAAAAGGAUGAGAACCUGUCAAGAUGUCCAGCUGUCACUUCACUCUGCACCCUAAGCGAUCUUCUGGAUGUGAGUGACGAGGGCUGGGAAUAUCUUCUUCCGGAACAUGGCACUCCCAUCCAAUUGCAUUUCCCCCGUUAAACAAAGCUGGCCAAAACAUCGGGUGUAAUGCCCUCACCAUCACAGAUAGCUUCGUUACUGUGGAUCUGCUCACAAGCAUAAGGUGGUUGCAUUAUUAUUUGACCCCGGCAUUGACCUGCUAUUUGACCUGCUAUACCUCCACCGCUGCCACACG